GAUGAACGCUAGCUACAGGCUUAACACAUGCAAGUCGAGGGGUAACGAGAGGAAAGCUUGCUUUCCUUGUCGACGACCGGCGCACGGGUGAGUAACGCGUAUCCAACCUGCCCCCAACUAGGGAAUAACCUUGCGAAAGUAAGACUAAUACCCUAUAAUUUCCUCAGAUGUCAUCUGACGAGGAAUAAAGAUUUAUCGGUUGUGGAUGGGGAUGCGUCUGAUUAGCUUGUUGGCGGGGUAACGGCCCACCAAGGCAACGAUCAGUAGGGGUUGUAAGAGGAAGGUCCCCCACAUUGGAACUGAGACACGGUCCAAACUCCUACGGGAGGCAGCAGUGAGGAAUAUUGGUCAAUGGGCGGAAGCCUGAACCAGCCAAGUAGCGUGCAGGAUGACGGCCCUAUGGGUUGUAAACUGCUUUUAUACAGGAAUAAAGUUAGCCACGUGUGGUUAUUUGUAGGUACUGUAUGAAUAAGGACCGGCUAAUUCCGUGCCAGCCGCCGCAGUAA
rnacentral:rRNA from 1 species